AGUGAAAAGCACUUGAACCGUCACGGGGGAAGCGGAUUGCGUGAGUGAUGGUGUCGCUUGUUCAGCGCUUUAUUGCGUGCAUUCUGGCGGCGCCGUGCCGGCGUGGCUGGCUGGACUGUGAUUUUGACAGUCUCGGCUGGUGAGGGCUCCCUCGUAUGAGGUGAGGACGCGGGCAAAAUGACGCAAUACGACCCGUCUUGAAACACGGACCAAGGAGUCUAGCACGGCUGCGAGUCGAAGAGUGAUUAAACUCAAGGGCGCAGUGAAAGCGAAAUUAUAAGCAAAUUGGGGAGGCGUUGCGUUUUUAACAAAAUGUCCUACCUCGAGCAUUUGUGCUGGGACCCGAAAGAUGGUGAACUAUGCCGGAGUAGGGCAAAGCCAGAGGAAACUCUGGUGGAGGCUCGUAGCGAUGCUGACGUGCAAAUCGCUCGUCGAACUUGGGUAUAGGGGCGAAAGACUAAUCGAACCAUCUAGUAGCUGGUUCCCUCCGAAGUUUCUCUCAGGAUAGCGGGCCGACACGCGUUUGUUGUUUUGUGCGGUAAAGCGAAUGAUUAGUGCAUUUGGGGUACGAAGUACUUCGGGCGAUUCUCAAACUUUAAAUGCGCAAGGGGGUGGCUGCUUAAUUGAGCCUACUCUUUGAAAAACGUCGGCCCUGUGGGCCACUUUUGGUAAGC
rnacentral:rRNA from 1 species